UUAUCACCAAUCAAGCCUGGCUUGCUGUUGGGGCCCCUUGCCGUUAACACGGCAGUCCCCAAAGAUAGUGGCGGUGUUAUUUGGACCCUAGACGCAACGAGCUUUCAUUAGCACGCGUGUAGUUGGACCUUUUAACCCGGUCUUUUUAACCAACUUCUAAGGUUGACCUCGGAUCAGGUAGGAAUACCCGCUGAACUUAA
rnacentral:misc_RNA from 1 species